rnacentral:rRNA from 1 species
CCUGUGAGGGUUGCUGGAGGUAUCAGAAGUGCGAAUGCUGACAUAAGUAACGAUAAAGCGGGUGAAAAGCCCGCUCGCCGGAAGACCAAGGGUUCCUGUCCAACGUUAAUCGGGGCAGGGUGAGUCGACCCCUAAGGCGAGGCCGAAAGGCGUAGUCGAUGGGAAACAGGUUAAUAUUCCUGUACUUGGUGUUACUGCGAAGGGGGGACGGAGAAGGCUAUGUUAGCCGGGCGACGGUUGUCCCGGUUUAAGCAUGUAGGCUGAUUGUCCAGGCAAAUCCGGAUAAUCAAGGCUGAGGUGUGAUGACGAGGCACUACGGUGCUGAAGUAACAAAUGCCCUGCUUCCAGGAAAAGCCUCUAAGCAUCAGGUAACAUCAAAUCGUACCCCAAACCGACACAGGUGGUCAGGUAGAGAAUACCAAGGCGCUUGAGAGAACUCGGGUGAAGGAACUAGGCAAAAUGGUGCCGUAACUUCGGGAGAAGGCACGCUGGUGUGUAGGUGAAGCCCCUGCGGGUGGAGCUGAGACCAGUCGAAGAUACCAGCUGGCUGCAACUGUUUAUUAAAAACACAGCACUGUGCAAACACGAAAGUGGACGUAUACGGUGUGACGCCUGCCCGGUGCCGGAAGGUUAAUUGAUGGGGUUAUCCGUAAGGAGAAGCUCUUGAUCGAAGCCCCGGUAAACGGCGGCCGUAACUAUAACGGUCCUAAGGUAGCGAAAUUCCUUGUCGGGUAAGUUCCGACCUGCACGAAUGGCGUAAUGAUGGCCAGGCUGUCUCCACCCGAGACUCAGUGAAAUUGAACUCGCUGUGAAGAUGCAGUGUACCCGCGGCAAGACGGAAAGACCCCGUGAACCUUUACUAUAGCUUGACACUGAACAUUGAGCCUUGAUGUGUAGGAUAGGUGGGAGGCUUUGAAGCGUGGACGCCAGUCUGCGUGGAGCCAACCUUGAAAUACCACCCUUUAAUGUUUGAUGUUCUAACGUUGGCCCCUUACCGGGGUUGCGGACAGUGUCUGGUGGGUAGUUUGACUGGGGCGGUCUCCUCCCAAAGCGUAACGGAGGAGCACGAAGGUUAGCUAAUCCUGGUCGGACAUCAGGAGGUUAGUGCAAUGGCAUAAGCUAGCUUGACUGCGAGCGUGACGGCGCGAGCAGGUGCGAAAGCAGGUCAUAGUGAUCCGGUGGUUCUGAAUGGAAGGGCCAUCGCUCAACGGAUAAAAGGUACUCCGGGGAUAACAGGCUGAUACCGCCCAAGAGUUCAUAUCGACGGCGGUGUUUGGCACCUCGAUGUCGGCUCAUCACAUCCUGGGGCUGAAGUAGGUCCCAAGGGUAUGGCUGUUCGCCAUUUAAAGUGGUACGCGAGCUGGGUUUAGAACGUCGUGAGACAGUUCGGUCCCUAUCUGCCGUGGGCGCUGGAGAAUUGAGGGGGGCUGCUCCUAGUACGAGAGGACCGGAGUGGACGCAUCACUGGUGUUCGGGUUGUCAUGCCAAUGGCACUGCCCGGUAGCUAAAUGCGGAAGAGAUAAGUGCUGAAAGCAUCUAAGCACGAAACUUGCCCCGAGAUGAGUUCUCCCUGAGACUU